rnacentral:rRNA from 1 species
AGAGUUUGAUCCUGGCUCAGGAUGAACGCUAGCGGCAGGCCUAACACAUGCAAGUCGAGGGAGAAGCCCUUUCGGGGGCAGAAACCGGCGCACGGGUGCGUAACGCGUAUGCAACCUACCUUUCACAGGGGGAUAGCCCGAAGAAAUUUGGAUUAAUACCCCAUAAUAUUAUUGGAUGGCAUCAUUUGAUAAUUAAAACUGCGGUGGUGAAAGAUGGGCAUGCGUCCUAUUAGCUAGUUGGAGUGGUAACGGCACCCCAAGGCUACGAUAGGUAGGGGUCCUGAGAGGGAGAUCCCCCACACUGGUACUGAGACACGGACCAGACUCCUACGGGAGGCAGCAGUGAGGAAUAUUGGUCAAUGGGCGAGAGCCUGAACCAGCCAAGUCGCGUGAAGGAUGACGGCCCUAUGGGUUGUAAACUUCUUUUGCAGGGGAAUAAAGAUAUUCACGUGUGGAUAGUUGUAUGUACCCUGCGAAUAAGCAUCGGCUAACUCCGUGCCAGCAGCCGCGGUAAUACGGAGGAUGCGAGCGUUAUUCGGAAUCAUUGGGUUUAAAGGGUCUGUAGGCGGGCUAUUAAGUCAGGGGUGAAAGGUUUCAGCUUAACUGAGAAAUUGCCUUUGAUACUGGUAGUCUUGAAUAUCUGUGAAGUUCUUGGAAUGUGUAGUGUAGCGGUGAAAUGCUUAGAUAUUACACAGAACACCGAUUGCGAAGGCAGGGGACUAACAGACAAUUGACGCUGAGAGACGAAAGCGUGGGGAGCGAACAGGAUUAGAUACCCUGGUAGUCCACGCU